rnacentral:rRNA from 1 species
UACGACUACAUAUCAGGCAUAUCAAUAAGCGGAGGAAAAGAAACUAACAAGGAUUCCCCUUAGUAACGGCGAGUGAAGCGGGAAGAGCUCAAAUUUGAAAUCUUCAAGGGUUCUACCUUUACGAAUUGUAGUUUAAUAGAAGUGUUUUCUGUUAGUGAGUUGGCUAAAAGUUCUUUGGAAUAGGACAUCAUAGAGGGUGAGAAUCCCGUAUUUGGUCAUUCCUCCUAGCGUUGUGAUACACUUUCAACGAGUCGGAUUGUUUGGGAAUGCAGUCCAAAAUGGGUGGUAAAUUUCAUCUAAAGCUAAAUAUUGGCGAGAGACCGAUAGCGAACAAGUACCGUGAGGGAAAGAUGAAAAGAACUUUGAAAAGAGAGUUAAACAGUACGUGAAAUUGUCAAAAGGGAAGCGUUUGACACCAGUGUUGUUUUCUCGAAAAUCAAUUAAAAAUGGCUUGAUUUUGUGUUGUAUUGACCUUAAAAGCUUUCUUCACUUUUUUCAUGUCAUUUUUAAUGCACUUUUCGUUUAACAAGUCAACAUCAGUUUCUUUUGUUGUAAAAAGGUCAUUGGAAGGUGGCUUUCUUUUCGGAGAAAGUGUUUAUAGCCUUUGACUCCUGCAAUCGGAGAGACUGAGGUCUGCAGCGUAGAUCCUUCUGGAUUAGAUUCACUUGUGCUAAGUUAUAGCUUUUCAUAGACAACUUGUUGACUAUGUUUAGUCUUGUAGCUUACUCGCUUGUGUAAUUUUACCUACGCUUAGGAUGUUGAACGCGCACAGAGUCUC